rnacentral:rRNA from 1 species
GAGUUUGAUCCUGGCUCAGGACGAACGCUGGCGGCGUGCUUAACACAUGCAAGUCGAACGGAGAUUUUAUUUCGGUAAAAUCUUAGUGGCGAACGGGUGAGUAACGCGUAGGCAACCUGCCUUUUAGUUGGGGACAACACUCCGAAAGGGGUGCUAAUACCGAAUGUGAUCCUUUGGCCGCAUGACCGAAGGAUGAAAGAUGGCCUCUAUUUAUAAGCUAUCGCUAAAAGAUGGGCCUGCGUCUGAUUAGCUAGUUGGUGAGGUAACGGCUCACCAAGGCGAUGAUCAGUAGCCGGUCUGAGAGGAUGAACGGCCACAUUGGGACUGAGACACGGCCCAAACUCCUACGGGAGGCAGCAGUGGGGAAUCUUCCGCAAUGGACGAAAGUCUGACGGAGCAACGCCGCGUGAGUGAUGAAGGUCUUCGGACUGUAAAACUCUGUUGUUAGGGACGAAGGUGCACUUUGCGAAUAGCUGAGUGUAUUGACGGUACCUAACGAGGAAGCCACGGCUAACUACGUGCCAGCAGCCGCGGUAAUACGUAGGUGGCAAGCGUUGUCCGGAAUCAUUGGGCGUAAAGAGCAUGUAGGCGGGCUUUUAAGUCCGACGUGAAAAUGCGGGGCUUAACCCGUAUGGCUUGGAAACUGGAAGUCUUGA